UCAGUACUCCCUCCGUCCGGAAAUACUUGUCAUUGAAAUGGAUGUAUCUAGAUGUAUUUUAGUUUUAGAUACAUUCAUUUUCAACCAUUUUGAUGACAAGUAAUUCCGGACGGAGGGAGUAUUGC
rnacentral:pre_miRNA from 1 species